GGCGACGGGUGAGUACACGUAUCUAACCUACCAUUUAGUGGGGAAUAACUGUUGGAAACGACAGCUAAUACCGCAUAUGUUAUUUAUUUGCAAUGAUAAAUAAUGAAAGGAGCAUUUGCUUCGCUAAUUGAUGGGGAUGCGGCGCAUUAACUAGUUGGUAAGGUAAUGGCUUACCAAGGUAACGAUGCGUAGCCGAUCUGAGAGGAUGAACGGCCACAUUGGGACUGAGACACGGCCCAAACUUCUACGGAAGGCAGCAGUAGGGAAUUUUUCACAAUGGGCGAAAGCCUGAUGGAGCAAUGCCGCGUGACUGAUGAAGGUCUUCGGAUUGGAAAGGUCUGUUGUAAAGGAAGAAGUGCUAGAAUAGGAAACGAUUUUAGUAUCGACCAUACCUUACCAGAAAGCCACGGCUAACUAUGUGCCAGCAGCCGCGGUAAUACAUAGGUGGCAAGCGUUAUCCGGAUUUAUUGGGCGUAAAGCGUGCGUAGACGGUUUUGCAAGUCUGAGGUUAAAUUUAGGGGCUCAACCCCUAACCGCCUUGGAAACUACAUUACUAGAGUAUAGGAGAGGUUAGUGGAAUUUCAUGUGUAGCGGUGGAAUGCGUAGAUAUAUGAGGGAACACCAGUGGCGAAGGCGGCUAACUGGCCUAUUACUGACGUUGUGGCACGAAAGCGUGGGGAGCAAAUAGGAUUAGAUACCCUAGUAGUCCACGCCGUAAACGAUGAGUACUAAGUGUUGCCAUGAGGCAGUGCUGUAGCUAACGCAUUAAGUACUCCGCCUGAGUAGUAUGCUCGCAAGGGUGAAACUCAAAGGAAUUGACGGGGACCCGCACAAGCGGUGGAGCAUGUGGUUUAAUUCGAAGCAACGCGAAGAACCUUACCAGGUCUUGACAUACCUUGCGAAGAUAUAGAGAUAUAGUAGAGGUUAACAAGGAUACAGGUGGUGCAUGGUUGUCGUCAGUUCGUGUCGUGAGAUGUUUGGUUAAGUUCAGCAACGAACGCAACCCUUGUCCUUAGUUGCCAGCAUUAAGUUGGGGACUCUAAGGAGACUGCUAGUGUAAGCUAGAGGAAGGUGGGGACGACGUCAAAUCAU
rnacentral:rRNA from 1 species